CCUACGGGAGGCAGCAGUAGGGAAUAUUGCUCAAUGGGGGAAACCCUGAAGCAGCAACGCCGCGUGGUGGAUGACGGUUUUCGGAUUUUAAACCCCUUUUGUUAGAGAAGCUAAUGCCGGUAUCUGACGAAUAAGCACCGGCUAACUCCGUGCCAGCAGCAGCGGGUAUACGGGGGGUGCAAGCGUUAAUCGGAAGUACUGGGCGUAAAUAGUGCGUAGGUGGGCGUGUAAGUCAGAUGUGAGAUCCUGUAGCUUAACUACAGAACUGCAUUUGAAACCGUGGGUCUAGAGUGUGGGAGUGGUAUGCGGAAUUCUUGGUGUAGAGGUGAAAUGCGUAGAUAUCAGGAGGAAUACUGAUUGCGAAGGCGGCCUACUGGAACCUAACGGACGCUCAUGCACGAAAGCGUGGGGAGCGAACAGGAUUAGAUACCCGAGUAGUC
rnacentral:rRNA from 1 species